rnacentral:rRNA from 1 species
ACGAACGCUGGCGGCGUGCCUAAUACAUGCAAGUCGAGCGGAAUGAUGAAGAAGCUUGCUUCUUCUGAUUUUAGCGGCGGACGGGUGAGUAACACGUGGGCAACCUACCUUGUAGAUUGGGAUAACUCCGGGAAACCGGGGCUAAUACCGAAUAAUCCAUUUUGCUUCAUGGCGAGAUGUUGAAAGACGGUUUCGGCUGUCACUAUAAGAUGGGCCCGCGGCGCAUUAGCUAGUUGGUAGGGUAAUGGCCUACCAAGGCGACGAUGCGUAGCCGACCUGAGAGGGUGAUCGGCCACACUGGGACUGAGACACGGCCCAGACUCCUACGGGAGGCAACAGUAGGGAAUCUUCCACAAUGGACGAAAGUCUGAUGGAGCAACGCCGCGUGAGUGAAGAAGGUUUUCGGAUCGUAAAACUCUGUUGUAAGGGAAGAACACGUACGAGAGUAACUGCUCGUACCUUGACGGUACCUUAUUAGAAAGCCACGGCUAACUACGUG